rnacentral:rRNA from 1 species
GACGAACGCUGGCGGCGUGCCUAACACAUGCAAGUCGAGCGGAAAUAAUUAAAGUUUACUUUGAUUAUUUUAGCGGCGGACGGGUGAGUAACACGUGGGCAACCUGCCCUUGAGAGGGGGAUAACACAGAGAAAUUUGUGCUAAUACCGCAUAACAUUUAGACUUCGCCUGGAGUUUAAAUCAAAGGAGUAAUCCGCUCAAGGAUGGGCCCGCGGCGCAUUAGCUAGUUGGGGAGGUAAUGGCUCACCAAGGCGACGAUGCGUAGCCGACCUGAGAGGGUGAUCGGCCACAUUGGAACUGAGACACGGUCCAGACUCCUACGGGAGGCAGCAGUGGGGAAUAUUGCGCAAUGGGGGAAACCCUGACGCAGCAACGCCGCGUGAGCGAUGAAGGCCUUCGGGUUGUAAAGCUCUGUCUUUGGGGACGAUAAUGACGGUACCCAAGGAGGAAGCCACGGCUAACUACGUGCCAGCAGCCGCAGUAACAC